rnacentral:rRNA from 1 species
UACGAGGGGGGCGAGCGUUGUUCUGAAUUAUUGGGCGUAAAGGGUGCGUAGGCGGUUUUGUAAGUCUUAUGUGAAAUCUAUGGGCUCAACUCAUAGACUGCAUGAGAAACUGCAGGGCUUGAGUAUGGGAGAGGUGAGUGGAAUUCCUGGUGUAGCGGUGAAAUGCGUAGAUAUCAGGAGGAACACCUGUGGCGAAAGCGGCUCACUGGACCAUAACUGACGCUGAUGCACGAAAGCUAGGGGAGCAAACAGG